AAAGUGGCUUACGCUACAGCUAUGGACUGGUUCAUUGCAGUGUGCUAUGCCUUU
rfam:Larimichthys crocea isolate SSNF unplaced genomic scaffold scaffold146, whole genome shotgun sequence.